rnacentral:rRNA from 1 species
CCUACGGGAGGCAGCAGUGAGGAAUAUUGGUCAAUGGACGCGACUCUGACCCAGCCAAGUCGCGUGAAGGAUGACUGCCCUCUGGGUUGUAAACUUCUUUUAUAUGGGAAUAAAACAGGGUAUGCAUACCCUCUUGUAUGUACCAUAUGAAUAAGGAUCGGCUAACUCCGUGCCAGCAGCCGCGGUAAUACGGAGGAUCCGAGCGUUAUCCGGAUUUAUUGGGGUUAAAGGGAGCGUAGGUGGAUUUUUAAGUCAGUUGGGAAAGUUUGCGGCUCAACCGUAAAAUUGCAGUUGAAACUGGCAGUCUUGAGUACAGUAGAGGUGGGCGGAAUUCGUGGUGUAGCGGUGAAAUGCUUAGAUAUCACGAAGAACACCGAUGGCGAAGGCAGCUCACUGGACUGCAACUGACGCUGAGGCUCGAAAGUGUGGGGAUCAAACAGGAUUAGAUACCCGUGUAGUC